rnacentral:rRNA from 1 species
ACGUAGGUGACAAGCGUUAUCCGGAAUUACUGGGCGUAAAGCGCACGCAGGUGGUUUUGCAAGUCUGGCGUGAAAUCUCCUGGCUUAACCAGGAGCGGUCGCUGGAAACGGCAAGACUUGAGGCGAGGAGAGGGGUGCAGAAUUCCCGGUGUAGUGGUGGAAUGCGUAGAGAUCCGGAGGAACACCAGAGGCGAAGGCGACACCCUGGGCCGUACCUGACGCUAAGACGCGACAGCACGGGGAGCGAACGG